rnacentral:rRNA from 1 species
GGGUUGUGAGGUUAAGCGACUAAGCGUACACGGUGGAUGCCCUGGCAGUCAGAGGCGAUGAAGGACGUGCUAAUCUGCGAAAAGCGUCGGUAAGGUGAUAUGAACCGUUAUAACCGGCGAUGUCCGAAUGGGGAAACCCAGUGCAAUUCGUUGCACUAUCGUUAACUGAAUACAUAGGUUAACGAGGCGAACCGGGGGAACUGAAACAUCUAAGUACCCCGAGGAAAAGAAAUCAACCGAGAUUCCCCCAGUAGCGGCGAGCGAACGGGGAGCAGCCCAGAGUCUGAAUCAGCUUGUGUGUUAGUGGAACGGUCUGGAAAGUCCGACGGUACAGGGUGAUAGUCCCGUACACCAAAAUGCACAGGUUGUGAACUCGAAGAGUAGGGCGGGACACGUGGUAUCCUGUCUGAAUAUGGGGGGACCAUCCUCCAAGGCUAAAUACUCCUGACUGACCGAUAGUGAACCAGUACCGUGAGGGAAAGGCGAAAAGAACCCCGGCGAGGGGAGUGAAAAAGAACCUGAAACCGUGUACGUACAAGCAGUGGGAGCACCUUCGGGUGUGACUGCGUACCUUUUGUAUAAUGGGUCAGCGACUUAUAUUCUGUAGCAAGGUUAACCGUAUAGGGGAGCCGCAGGGAAACCGAGUCUUAACUGGGCGUUAAGUUGCAGGGUAUAGACCCGAAACCCGGUGAUCUAGCCAUGGGCAGGUUGAAGGUUGGGUAACACUAACUGGAGGACCGAACCGACUAAUGUUGAAAAAUUAGCGGAUGACUUGUGGCUGGGGGUGAAAGGCCAAUCAAACCGGGAGAUAGCUGGUUCUCCCCGAAAGCUAUUUAGGUAGCGCCUCGUGAAUUCAUCUUCGGGGGUAGAGCACUGUUUCGGCUAGGGGGUCAUCCCGACUUACCAACCCGAUGCAAACUACGAAUACCGAAGAAUGUUAUCACGGGAGACACACGGCGGGUGCUAACGUCCGUCGUGAAGAGGGAAACAACCCAGACCGCCAGCUAAGGUCCCAAAGUCAUGGUUAAGUGGGAAACGAUGUGGGAAGGCACAGACAGCCAGGAUGUUGGCUUAGAAGCAGCCAUCAUUUAAAGAAAGCGUAAUAGCUCACUGGUCGAGUCGGCCUGCGCGGAAGAUGUAACGGGGCUAAACCAUGCACCGAAGCUGCGGCAGCGACACUAUGUGUUGUUGGGUAGGGGAGCGUUCUGUAAGCCUGCGAAGGUGUGCUGUGAGGCAUGCUGGAGGUAUCAGAAGUGCGAAUGCUGACAUAAGUAACGAUAAAGCGGGUGAAAAGCCCGCUCGCCGGAAGACCAAGGGUUCCUGUCCAACGUUAAUCGGGGCAGGGUGAGUCGACCCCUAAGGCGAGGCCGAAAGGCGUAGUCGAUGGGAAACAGGUUAAUAUUCCUGUACUUGGUGUUACUGCGAAGGGGGGACGGAGAAGGCUAUGUUAGCCGGGCGACGGUUGUCCCGGUUUAAGCAUGUAGGCUGGUUAUCCAGGCAAAUCCGGAUAAUCAAGGCUGAGGUGUGAUGACGAGGCACUACGGUGCUGAAGUAACAAAUGCCCUGCUUCCAGGAAAAGCCUCUAAGCAUCAGGUAACAUCAAAUCGUACCCCAAACCGACACAGGUGGUCAGGUAGAGAAUACCAAGGCGCUUGAGAGAACUCGGGUGAAGGAACUAGGCAAAAUGGUGCCGUAACUUCGGGAGAAGGCACGCUGGUGUGUAGGUGAAGCCCCUGCGGGUGGAGCUGAGACCAGUCGAAGAUACCAGCUGGCUGCAACUGUUUAUUAAAAACACAGCACUGUGCAAACACGAAAGUGGACGUAUACGGUGUGACGCCUGCCCGGUGCCGGAAGGUUAAUUGAUGGGGUUAUCCGUAAGGAGAAGCUCUUGAUCGAAGCCCCGGUAAACGGCGGCCGUAACUAUAACGGUCCUAAGGUAGCGAAAUUCCUUGUCGGGUAAGUUCCGACCUGCACGAAUGGCGUAAUGAUGGCCAGGCUGUCUCCACCCGAGACUCAGUGAAAUUGAACUCGCUGUGAAGAUGCAGUGUACCCGCGGCAAGACGGAAAGACCCCGUGAACCUUUACUAUAGCUUGACACUGAACAUUGAGCCUUGAUGUGUAGGAUAGGUGGGAGGCUUUGAAGCGUGGACGCCAGUCUGCGUGGAGCCAACCUUGAAAUACCACCCUUUAAUGUUUGAUGUUCUAACGUUGGCCCCUUACCGGGGUUGCGGACAGUGUCUGGUGGGUAGUUUGACUGGGGCGGUCUCCUCCUAAAGCGUAACGGAGGAGCACGAAGGUUAGCUAAUCCUGGUCGGACAUCAGGAGGUUAGUGCAAUGGCAUAAGCUAGCUUGACUGCGAGCGUGACGGCGCGAGCAGGUGCGAAAGCAGGUCAUAGUGAUCCGGUGGUUCUGAAUGGAAGGGCCAUCGCUCAACGGAUAAAAGGUACUCCGGGGAUAACAGGCUGAUACCGCCCAAGAGUUCAUAUCGACGGCGGUGUUUGGCACCUCGAUGUCGGCUCAUCACAUCCUGGGGCUGAAGUAGGUCCCAAGGGUAUGGCUGUUCGCCAUUUAAAGUGGUACGCGAGCUGGGUUUAGAACGUCGUGAGACAGUUCGGUCCCUAUCUGCCGUGGGCGCUGGAGAAUUGAGGGGGGCUGCUCCUAGUACGAGAGGACCGGAGUGGACGCAUCACUGGUGUUCGGGUUGUCAUGCCAAUGGCACUGCCCGGUAGCUAAAUGCGGAAGAGAUAAGUGCUGAAAGCAUCUAAGCACGAAACUUGCCCCGAGAUGAGUUCUCCCUGAGACUUUAAGUCUCCUGAAGGAACGUUGAAGACGACGACGUUGAUAGGCCGGGUGUGUAAGCGCAGCGAUGCGUUGAGCUAACCGGUACUAAUGAACCGUGAGGCUUAACCUUACAACGCCGAAG